AAGGCACCUCUCCCGAUCUCCUGGCGCUCACCUCCCGGGCGUUCCUUUCGUGUCCCCUUGAAAGCCCGGUCCUUGGGCUUGGAAUGAGACGGUUUGGGUAAUUAUGGGAGUGUGGCGAGACAGUGCUAGAGGAACACUAACAGAUUGGCUCAUGCCUGCUUUGGUCAGUAGAAUACAGCUGAAGUGAUGUUGUACCAGUUUUGCGUCUGGUCUUUACAAGCACUGGUAGCUUCAACUUUCUCCUUCUUGGUACUCACCCACCAUGUUGUAAGGAAACCCAAACAGCC
rnacentral:lncRNA from 10 species